rnacentral:rRNA from 1 species
GAUGAACGCUGGCGGCGUGCCUAAUACAUGCAAGUCGAGCGAACGGACGAGAAGCUUGCUUUUCUGAUGUUAGCGGCGGACGGGUGAGUAACACGUGGAUAACCUACCUAUAAGACUGGGAUAACUUCGGGAAACCGGAGCUAAUACCGGAUAAUAUUUUGAACCGCAUGGUUCAAAAGUGAAAGACGGUCUUGCUGUCACUUAUAGAUGGAUCCGCGCUGCAUUGGCUAGUUGGUAAGGUAACGGCUUACCAAGGCAACGAUGCAUAGCCGACCUGAGAGGGUGAUCGGCCACACUGGAACUGAGACACGGUCCAGACUCCUACGGGAGGCAGCAGUAGGGAAUCUUCCGCAAUGGGCGAAAGCCUGACGGAGCAACGCCGCGUGAGUGAUGAAGGUCUUCGGAUCGUAAAACUCUGUUAUUAGGGAAGAACAUAUGUGUAAGUAACUGUGCACAUCUCGACGGUACCUAAUCAGAAAGCCACGGCUAACUACGUG